CAAUAGCGUAUAUUAAAGUUGUUGCAGUUAAAAAGCUCGUAGUUGAACUUCUGGCAGUUGUGUCUGCAGGCUUCGGUCGCUGACAUAGCGGUCAUCCGCUUGGGAACUACGUUCGAACUUCACUGUUCGGCGUAAGGAACAGGCAUUUUACUUUGAAAAAAUUAGAGUGUUCAAGGCAGGCUAUCGCCCUGAAUACACAAGCAUGGAAUAAUGAAAUAGGACUUCUUCCAUUUUAUUGGUUAUUGGAAAAAGUAAUGAUUAACAGGGACAGUUGGGGGCAUUAGUAUUUAAUUGUCAGAGGUGAAAUUCUUGGAUUUAUUAAAGACUAACUUAUGCGAAAGCAUUUGCCAAGGAUGUUUUCAUUAA
rnacentral:rRNA from 1 species